GACGAACGCUGGCGGCGUGCUUAACACAUGCAAGUCGAACGGAAAGGCCCCUUUGGGGGUCCUCGAGUGGCGAACGGGUGAGUAACACGUGAGUAACCUGCCCUUGACUUCGGGAUAACUUCAGGAAACUGGGGCUAAUACCGGAUAGGAAUCCUUGCUGCAUGGUGGGGGUUGGAAAGCUUCGGCGGUUUUGGAUGGACUCGCGGCUUAUCAGCUUGUUGGUGGGGUAGUGGCUUACCAAGGCUUUGACGGGUAGCCGGCCUGAGAGGGCGACCGGCCACAGUGGGACUGAGAUACGGCCCAGACGCCUACGGGAGGCAGCAGUGGGGAAUAUUGCACAAUGGGCGGAAGCCUGAUGCAGCAACGCCGCGUGCGGGAUGACGGCCUUCGGGUUGUAAACCGCUUUCAGCAGGGGCGAAGCUUGUGGUGACGGUACCUGCAGAAGAAGCACCGGCUAACUACGUG
rnacentral:rRNA from 1 species